rnacentral:rRNA from 1 species
GGAGGGUGCGAGCGUUAAUCGGAAUUACUGGGCGUAAAGCGCGCGCAGGCGGCUGGGUCAGUCGGAUGUGAAAGCCCCGGGCUUAACCUGGGAAUUGCGUUCGAUACUGCCCGGCUAGAGUAUGGGAGAGGGAAGUGGAAUUUCCGGUGUAGCGGUGAAAUGCGUAGAUAUCGGAAGGAACACCAGUGGCGAAGGCGGCUUCCUGGCCCAAUACUGACGCUCAGGUGCGAAAGCGUGGGGAGCGAACAGGGAUUAGAUACCCUGGUAGUCCACGCUGUAAACGAUGAGAACUAGAUGUUGGGAGGGUUAGCCUCUCAGUGUCGCAGCUAACGCGUUAAGUUCUCCGCCUGGGGAUACGACCGCAAGGUUG